GGAAGAUGAUGAGUUUUUUAUUGGUCCGUGUUUCUGAUCCAACCCUGACUGAAACUACUUCACCAAGCUCUGAUUCC